GGUCUCGUAGGGGGUUACGGUGGUCUCGUAGGGGGUAACGGUGGUGUCGUAGGGAGUAACGGUCGUCUCGUAGGGGGUAACUGUGAUCUCGUGUAUGUGCAGAUGACCGUAAGCUGUAACUUACCUAAGGGCUUGCCUUGUUGGCGUUUUUACUACAGCAAACUACACUUCAUUAUCCCAAUAAAACGGUAUCCAUAAGAGUAUACACAAUAAACAACUUGCGAUUAGGCCAAAGCGGCUUCAACUCGACUUCAGCAUCCGACUUGUUUACUAACAAUGACGUAGUAUUGUUACGUGCUAAUACUUGAUUCCCAAAGAUGAUUGUCUCAAGGUUAAUCGGCAAAAUAUAAAAACACAGAGCGUUAAUAUAAUAAAUAUUACACAAAAUGUUCAACAACAUGUUUAAAGUACAUAUUUUCAAGGCAAUUUUCGAGUUUCGAGUAAUGCAAGUGAAAGAGGCCUAUCUUUGUCGGACAUAUGAUCAUUUGAGAUUCGGAAAAGGCCCUUCCUAUUGGCCUCAUCGCAGUGGCCGCCAACGUGACCUUGCUCCACCAACAUGAACAAACAUCGGAGACACUGCUUCGAAGAGAUGAUUCUACAUUUGGCUCAUCAGCAGCUGCAGACGGAGCGCGCCGCGGAGGCAGCAGCAGCCGCCGCCCCACAUCUCCUCCAGUGGCUCGACACGUGAAUGCUACUCCCCUUUCCUCUGCAGCUCAUGCAUUAUAUUGCAGUUUCAUUGACUAGGGGGGGGUGUUGUGUUGCGGUGGAAUCAAUAGCUGAGGGGAUCCCAGCUAGCGAUUAGCUUGUCAGUCAGGCCUCUGUGGUUGAAAGAAGGGGUGGCAGUGUAAAUCCCAGAAUACCAGGGGCCACCAGCAUGGAAAAACGGGAAUGCUGUGAGCCGCUGAUGGUGCUGCACCACCUGUUGGAGGAGGCAACAUGUGCCGAGUGUAUUAACCUUUCAGCUACUGCGGUUUAACCGCAGACUGCUGCCACUGAUCCUUUCAUGCGCCCCGAAGCCCCCAAAGCACAGCAAACUUGCUUACCAGCAUCUCAACGUGUUUUACAUUGGGCUGAAUCCGUCUUCCUCACUUCAAAGCUUCCACAAGUCCCCCCGAUCCUGGAAGUGAUCUUUGUUUUUCAGGAAGUACCAAC
ensembl:lncRNA